rnacentral:rRNA from 1 species
UUUCCGGUGGCCAUAGUGGAAGGGAAACACCCGGUCCCAUUCCGAACCCGGUCGUUAAGCCUUCCAACGCUGAUGGUACUGCACGAGGGAUCGUGUGGGAGAGUAAGACGCUGCCGGAA